AGCAAACCUCAGAAUCUCUGGAAUGAACUCAGUGGGAUGACAUUUUUUCACAAAGUGUCUACUCAUUAAUCAGUGGUUAAGAAAUACCUCUCAAGGCUGAUGUCUGAAGACAGCUGUAGUCAAGAAGAAAGAAAAGUACAAUAGAAGGGCUCAAAUCCAAGAGAAGAUUGAAGAGUUAGACAAAAGGAGAUAGAGAAAGAGCCACUAGAGACACUGUCACAUAAAGUUAACCUCUCUUCCCAUUCCUGCUCCAUCUGAUGUUAACACCAAAUAUAGGAUAUUGGAGAGUCAUAAGAGAA